ACGGGCGUAGCUCAACUGGUAGAGCGCCGGUCUCCAAAACCGUAGGUUGCGGGUUCGAUUCCUGCCGCCCGUG
rnacentral:tRNA from 2 species